rnacentral:lncRNA from 1 species
CAUAUUUAAAACAUAAUACAUACUUAUUUCAAUACAUACAUUCACCCGAAUCACUUACAUACUUGAUAGGUACUAAACUUUCCUACUAGCUAGUUAACUUGACAAGUAAGAAACUAAUCAUCCAAUCAACUAUUUACCACAUUUCAACUUGAUACCAUAAUAAGUAAACCCAAACACAAGAGAUUCAUAAGUCUUAUAAGAGCAAAAGUAUUUGAUCAACAACAUAUAACAAGUAGCUAGGCAUUUUCUAGUUCCUUCUAACAAGAUUAAGCUUAACAUUUAUAUACAUGGGUAUGACUGUUACCAACAAGAGACACCCUAUAUACAUGCCACAACAUUCGGUACAAAAAUAAGCAUACUCUUGUUGUCUAUGGAUAGUGUGACAUUUGCUCCAAGCAGGCUUUGGGAAUCCAAAAGCUAAGGAUCUACAUGUAAAGAAACGACAACAGGUAGGAAUGUAAUGUUUGGUAAGUUCAAAUGGAAUUCACUAUACUUACCUUAUUCAUAGGUAAGCAUAUUAAAUGCCAAGUGAACUAAGCACAAAUCUAGCUAAAUAAAGAACAUAACAUUACAAGGCAAUGUAAGCAUAAGUAAGCAUAUAUACAUAUACUCAAGUGUCAAAUAUCAUAGCUACAACCAAAGGCAUUAGAGAACCAUACCGUAGUAAUUAUAUUACAAAAGUUCGUAACAUGACAUAUCAAGUUCAUUUUUUUCAUUACUUGAUUUCGUACUCAAUUUAACAUUUCGCCCAAUGCAACCUUACUAAAUAUAGACUCAAACACACAAGUGAACUACACUACACCACACUAAGAUAGAUCAAAAGAGCAUGAACUACACCACAUAAAAGCACAAAAGUGCAAAGCCCGUAAGCAACAAAUGCAUAUGCAUAUGCAAACAUAUCCCUCCACCACAACAAGGUCUCCGUAGAGAUAAUACAUACUUGAUGAUUCGCAACAAAUGCUGGAUCUUAUAAUGACAUAACAUAGUCUCCGCAUUACUAUCAAAACCCGUAAAGAAAUGCGCAUACGAACCUAUUGGCAUGCCAAUUAUAUCCUAGUCUUUCUACCAAGUUUACAUGGGCAUUUACCAUUUACGAACAAAUAUAAGUUUUGUCAAUUACGUCUCCCACUCCUUAAAUCAUAUAUUACAAACCAUAGCUUAAUACAAAAUACAUAUCUCUCAUGAAGUUCAUAAGUAAAUCAUUAGCCAUUUAUUUUGGCUCAUUUCAAUAAGCACACCGCUUUGCAUAUAGAAGUGAUUUCCAUUUCACUAAUCAAAUGAGAUUCAUUCCAUUAUUUCACCAACUUAUUUCCAUUCAUUAGUGUAUCCUUGCCAAGUCUGUUAAGUUCAUUGAAUAUUAAACAUAUUAUGUAGCUAGUAAAAUUAUAAACAUGAUGACACAUGCUAGCACACAUAGCUAACAAGGAAGAAGAAUAAGUUCCAUAAGAACUUACCUUUCAAAAUGAAAAAUGAUUGGAUUGCUUUCAAUGAUUAAUCAACAACUUUAUCCUUUCCUCUGCUUGCUCCAACACCUUCCAAUGCUUUCUCUAAUAAUUCAUACAAAUCCACAAUUAACAUCAUGAAUUUAGCAACUAUUGGUCACUUAAUGGCUAUUCAAACAAAUGAUAAAUGUCAUGGAAUGCGAAGCCUCCUAAAACCCUUCGAACCUUGUUAUCCAAAAUUCUCGUAUCUUUUAACUCUCCAAAUCAAAUUGAAAUUCGGUUCCACAAUUUUUCUCUAAGAACCUCAAACUAUCAUUAUAUACCAACUAAUUCUAUAAAUUGUAUCUCUUACAAUUAGGUCCCUAUUAAUACUACAGAAGCUUCUAUAACGAUUACUUAAAUUAACUUAAUCACAACUUCAACCACUACACUAUUAACAUGAUUUUCACCUAAAACUUAAUCAACUAAGUAAUUCAUAAUUUUAACUCAAUCUUUUUACUCUAUUCAAUGGUAACUUGAAUAAACUUUAACAAUUGAACAAUCUAGCUUAUGGGUCAACUUUACUAAGCUAAAUAGAUUAAAAAUCCAUGAAAAUUUUAAAAGAAAAGCUUGAAUACCUUGGUUAAUUUUGGUUAGUUAUGGAGGAUGAGCUUAACUCUUCUUUUCUCCUCUACUUUCA